AAAGGGUGGAUUCCAAAAUCCUUCAAAUUCUUCAAACUUUUUGAUUAAUUUGACUUUAAAAUUUAAAUGCUUUGUGGGUUUUCAAGAAUGAGGAUCCAUUGUUGUAUUGAUGGGAAAUUGUUCAGUUCUUUGCCCCCUUUAAGUCCUAUUUCACUCCCAUCUCCAAAGGAGGUACAUCUUUGGUAUGUGAUACCCAAUGAGGUAAAGGGUGAAUCCGUUAUGAACAAAUAUAUGGAGAUUCUAUCCCCAUGUGAGAUUGAAAAAGUUUUGAGUUUUCAAAGAG
rnacentral:misc_RNA from 1 species